AUUGAACGCUGGCGGCAGGCCUAACACAUGCAAGUCGAGCGGAUGAAGGGAGCUUGCUCCCGGAUUCAGCGGCGGACGGGUGAGUAAUGCCUAGGAAUCUGCCUGGUAGUGGGGGAUAACGUCCGGAAACGGGCGCUAAUACCGCAUACGUCCUGAGUGAGAAAGUGGGGGAUCUUCGGACCUCACGCUAUCAGAUGAGCCUAGGUCGGAUUAGCUAGUUGGUGGGGUAAAGGCCUACCAAGGCGACGAUCCGUAACUGGUCUGAGAGGAUGAUCAGUCACACUGGAACUGAGACACGGUCCAGACUCCUACGGGAGGCAGCAGUGGGGAAUAUUGGACAAUGGGCGAAAGCCUGAUCCAGCCAUGCCGCGUGUGUGAAGAAGGUCUUCGGAUUGUAAAGCACUUUAAGUUGGGAGGAAGGGCAGUAAGUUAAUACCUUGCUGUUUUGACGUUACCAACAGAAUAAGCACCGGCUAACUUCGU
rnacentral:rRNA from 1 species